rnacentral:tRNA from 1 species
CCUUCGAUAGCUCAGUUGGUAGAGCGGUGGACUGUAGCGGUUAAACUGUCAGACAUCCAUAGGUCACUGGUUCGAAUCCGGUUCGAAGGA